CCUGGGAUGGUGUAGAGGUAACAUACCGCUUUUGUGAUGCGGUGCCCUGGGUUCGAUUCCCAGUCCCAGACCCA
rnacentral:tRNA from 1 species